AUGCCAUGAUGAGGGCACUUCCGUAAUAGCUCCUUGAAUCUUUUCCAUGCUUCAUACAAUGACUCCCUAUCUGCUUGUUGGAAGGAGGUAAUGUCGUUCCAAAGCUU
rnacentral:snoRNA from 1 species